rnacentral:rRNA from 1 species
CCUACGGGAGGCAGCAGUAGGGAAUCUUCCACAAUGGGCGCAAGCCUGAUGGAGCAACGCCGCGUGUGUGAUGAAGGGUUUCGGCUCGUAAAACACUGUUAUAAGAGAAGAACGGCACUGAGAGUAACUGUUCAGUGUGUGACGGUAUCUUACCAGAAAGGAACGGCUAAAUACGUGCCAGCAGCCGCGGUAAUACGUAUGUUCCAAGCGUUAUCCGGAUUUAUUGGGCGUAAAGCGAGCGCAGACGGUUAUUUAAGUCUGAAGUGAAAGCCCUCAGCUCAACUGAGGAAUGGCUUUGGAAACUGGAUGACUUGAGUGCAGUAGAGGAAAGUGGAACUCCAUGUGUAGCGGUGAAAUGCGUAGAUAUAUGGAAGAACACCAGUGGCGAAGGCGGCUUUCUGGACUGUAACUGACGUUGAGGCUCGAAAGUGUGGGUAGCA